rnacentral:rRNA from 1 species
UACGGGGGGGGGCAAGCGUUGUUCGGAAUUACUGGGCGUAAAGGGCUCGUAGGCGGCCAACUAAGUCGGAUGUGAAAUCCCCAAGCUUAACUUGGGAACUGCAUCCGAUACUGGAUGGCUUGAAUCCGGGAGAGGGAUGCGGAAUUCUCGGUGUAGCGGUGAAAUGCGUAGAUAUCGAGAGGAACACCUGCGGCGAAGGCGGGUAGCUGGGCCGACACUGACGCUGAUGCGCGAAAGCCAGGGGAGCGAACGGG